rnacentral:rRNA from 1 species
UACAGAGGGUGCAAGCGUUAAUCGGAAUUACUGGGCGUAAAGCGUCCGCAGUCGGUUAUUUAAGUCGGAUGUGAAAUCCCCGGGCUCAACCUGGGAAUUGCAUUCGAUACUGGAUAGCUAGAGUUCGGCAGAGGGAAGUGGAAUUUCCGGUGUAGCGGUGAAAUGCGUAGAUAUCGGAAGGAACAUCAGUGGCGAAAGCGACUUCCUGGACCAGAACUGACGAUCAGGGACGAAAGCGUGGGGAGCAAACAGG